CCCUACGGGGGGCAGCAGUGAGGAAUAUUGGUCAAUGGUCGGGAGACUGAACCAGCCAAGCCGCGUGAGGGAUGAAGGUACAGAGUAUCGUAAACCUCUUUUGUCAGGGAACAAAGGCGGGGACGCGUCCCCGGAUGAGUGUACCUGAAGAAAAAGCAUCGGCUAACUCCGUGCCAGCAGCCGCGGUAAUACGGAGGAUGCGAGCGUUAUCCGGAUUUAUUGGGUUUAAAGGGGGCGCAGGCGGUCUGUUAAGUCAGCGGUCAAAGCCCGGGGCUCAACCCCGGCCCGCCGUUGAAACUGGCAGUCUCGAGUUGGAGAGAAGUAUGCGGAAUGCGCGGUGUAGCGGUGAAAUGCAUAGAUAUCGCGCAGAACUCCGAUUGCGAAGGCAGCAUGCCGGCUCCACACUGACGCUGAGGCACGAAAGCGUGGGUAUCGAACAGGAUUAGAUACCCCAGUAGUC
rnacentral:rRNA from 1 species